UACGGAGGGGGCAAGCGUUACUCGGAAUUAUUGGGCGUAAAGGGCGCGUAGGCGGUCGUGCGCGUCGGAGGUGAAAUCCCCGGGCUUAACCCGGGAACUGCGUCCGAUACUGGCAGGCUUGAAUCCGGGAGAGGGAUGCGGAAUUCCACGUGUAGCGGUGAAAUGCGUAGAGAUGUGGAGGAACACCGAUGGCGAAGGCAGCCUCCUGGGCCAAUACUGACGCUCAUGCACGAAAGCGUGGGGAGCAAACAGG
rnacentral:rRNA from 1 species